AUGAUGAGAGAUGUCCGAAGAUGCUCCUGCAGGAGAUGCUGUAGAGGACUGUAUUUUGGUUACCAUUGGAGAAAGACUUACCUGCCAGGCCUCCAAGUAUUCACAUAUGCGAUGGUCCAUCUUAUUCUCCUCAAUCCUUCCUUCCGUCCUUUCAUUCCAUCCCUAAUACCUCUUCUGAGGUUAAUCAAAAUUCCUUUCUUACUAUUGAAUAAAUGUAUAGUCC
rnacentral:lncRNA from 1 species